rnacentral:tRNA from 1 species
GGCCGGUUAGCUCAGUUGGUUAGAGCGUGGUGCUAAUAACGCCAAGGUCACGGGUUCAACCCCUUGACUGGCCA